UCGUGAUCUUUGGUACACGCAAGGUUUAGGGAUAAAGCACGCCACAAUUGUCAAAAUACUAAACAAAAUCACCACACUUACACCGUUUAUUCUUUCGGGGUAACGAUUUAGUACUUUUUCCUGGCUUUUCUUUUGAUAAUGCGGUAUUAUAUAGUUUAUGCUAUUUGAUGAAAAACGUGCGGCGUAAGUACGGUGCAGCGUAAGAAACUUACCCCAAACGAAAAAGAGCAACGAACCCACCAUGCUGAUGAGUACAUGCUGAAAUCCCAUAUAAAGAAUAAGCUGACGGUACGUCAGAGCUUCCAGAGAGGAUUUCCGUCGUGGUUCAUUAGGAUCGCUGUGUGGCUGACCUUUCCCUGAAUUAACAGAAGAGAUUACGAGGACACAAUGCAAGAUAACUUCGUGCUAUCCGGAAGAUGAAACGAUUUCUGUUCUUCAAUUUUUCGCCGGCUUUCUCCGAACGGUUAAAACUGGAACAUCCUUGCGUUUAAAAUUGGCUAAGAAUGUUUCCUUGCCGAAUGCUUCCGCUUCAGCAAUAGUGGACAGCAUCUUCAUAUCGGUCGUUUCCGGUAGCAGGAUGGCGACCACUGCGCCCAGAAUAACGGUCACCGAUAUAACGACAAACGGCAGUCCGCUGAAUGUAGUGAUGGUUGCCUUAAAACCGUAUGCUUAGUAGUAGGUAGUUCUAUUGAGAUACCGAUGUGACUUGUAUCGUCACUUAUCGUCACAAUUCUCGUAAAAUACUAUACUUCUAGCUACUUUGGCUGUUUUGUUACUGCGCAAUUUGAACCGACUGGUAAUGGUAACAGCAAACAUGAUGUGCAUAAAUAAAGAUCACU